rnacentral:rRNA from 1 species
UACGGAGGGGGCUAGCGUUGUUCGGAAUUACUGGGCGUAAAGCGUGCGCAGGCGGCUUGUUAGGUCUGUUGUGAAAUCCCCGGGCUCAACCUGGGAAUGGCGAUGGAAACUGGGCAGCUAGAGUGUGUCAGAGGAUGGUGGAAUUCCCGGUGUAGCGGUGAAAUGCGUAGAGAUCGGGAGGAACAUCAGUGGCGAAGGCGGCCAUCUGGGACAACACUGACGCUGAAGCACGAAAGCGUGGGGAGCAAACAGG